rnacentral:tRNA from 1 species
GGAGAGCUGUCCGAGUGGCCGAAGGAGCAUGAUUGGAAAUCAUGUAAGCGGCUAACGCUGUUUCAAGGGUUCAAAUCCCUUGCUCUCCG